GACUGUCUGUCUGUCAUAUGUCUGGCUCAGACUGUCGGGUCGGGGUAUGACACUGGAGGUGAAAGCAUUUUCUCCAAAUUAGAUAUGUCAAUCAAAUCUCAAGUUAGUACUCCUUUCAAGGCUAAAGGCAAAGGAAUGAUAGCUGUAGAAGUGAAGGCGUGGAAUUCAUCAAUGAUAUUCUUCUUGUUGAAACUUUGAAACAGAAUCCACUAAGCGUUAGCCUGAUGAUGCAAAAAGAUAUUCUCUACUCUUUAAUGGAGAUUCCUACACCACAUAUGAUAAAGAAAUAAAAGCCCAAGGAUAGCAAAAGUUAACAUCGAGACCA
rnacentral:lncRNA from 1 species